GAUCAUGGCUCAGGAUGAACGCUAGCGACAGGCUUAACACAUGCAAGUCGAGGGGCAUCAUGAGGUAGCAAUACCUUGAUGGCGACCGGCGCACGGGUGAGUAACGCGUAUGCAACCUGCCUGAUACCGGGGUACAGCCCAUGGAAACGUGGAUUAACACCCCAUAGUACUUUUAUCCUGCCUGGGAUGGGAGUUAAAUGUUCAAGGUAUCGGAUGGGCAUGCGUCCUAUUAG
rnacentral:rRNA from 1 species